CUCUUAAGGUAGAGACCGAUAGCAACCACGUGAUCAGUAAAAAUCGUGUAUUUUCACGUGAAAUUAUUUUUCGGAAUUCCGUACAUCUCCAUAGAGUAGUUGAAAAACAAAAAGGGGUUCCGAAAGUACAAGUUGUUGCUGUGACUGAAUCGAUGAUUGAGAGGGUCGUCUCGACGAAAGAUAGAGAAAUUUGGCCAUAGUUUAGAUUAGGAAUACGUCAAUGUAAUAAUAGUGGGCUAAAUGUUUCGUCAGUGCAGGAUGGCACUUUUUACCUCACGAAAUUCACCACCAUGCAUAGCUGCGCUACGUAAACAAAGUUGUUGAUGUAGCGUGAUCGUGAUGUCCGAGUGCUGCGAGUUUCAAUACUGUUUAUGUAGUCAUUGAGAGUUUAAACAAAGUUUCUUCUGAGAAGAGGAAUUCGAUGGAUGCAUUCAACGUGGACAACGAAAUCAUAAUUUCGUUUGCAUCAUCCUAAGGACCAGUGCAAGUUGAAAUGGGCUUCCAGCCAACAACUUCAACAGCAAUUUGCCAUGAAAAUCACCAAGAAAGGUACUUCAUUUACAUUGAUGAUGUCAUAUCCCCUGGACCCCACAACUUUACAGGUUACAGAGAAAAUUCAAGAACUUCUGCAAAAUGUGGGACUUGGAUAGAAUCAAUAAUGUAUUUGUGAGCCCAGAGCAAUGGAUAUAUUGUGCAACAUACUAUUCUAAAGUGUGAAUUUAAUGGAAAACAAGUACAUGUACUCAUGUAUUACAUGUCUUUUUUAAGACAAUAAUAUUGAAUAAAUAUAGAGGAAGUGUCA